UACAGAGGUCUCAAGCGUUGUUCGGAUUCAUUGGGCGUAAAGGGUGCGUAGGCGGCGCGGUAAGUCGGGGUGUGAAAUCUCGGAGCUUAACUCCGAAACUGCAUUCGAUACUGCCGUACUUGAGGACUGGAGAGGAGACUGGAAUUUACGGUGUAGCGGUGAAAUGCGUAGAUAUCGUAAGGAAGACCAGUGGCGAAGGCGGGUCUCUGGACAGUUCCUGACGCUGAGGCACGAAGGUCAGGGGAGCAAACGGGG
rnacentral:rRNA from 1 species